UGGGUGACAAGAGCAAAACGCUGCCUCAAAAAAAUACAAAAAACACAAAAAAAAACCCCACCUGAAUUAUUUCUUAAGGUGGGAAAGAGGGAUCAGUGUAAAAUGUUGGCUGGAUUACUGUCUUGCCUUUAGAUAUAAAAAUAUCUAGUGUAUACUUAAUUUUCAGAAUUACAAAAUUAGGGAAUGAUCAAACGUAUAUAUAUAUUUUAUUUUUCAAAAGCCUGCGGCACCCAGUGUUUCAAGGUGGUCUCGCAUUCAAGGACUAGCUAAGCAGGUCAGACCCUGCUUAGCUUCCAAGAUCAGAGAAGACAGGGCAAGUUCAGGGUGGUGUGGCUGUGGACCAUGUUUUUAUACCUAUAAUUUAUUUAUAUUCAUUCACUCAAUCCUGCUGUAUGCAGGACGAUCUCAGCUUCAAACUCAAAAGCUGGAUCUGGUGGUCAGCUCUUUCAGGCACUGUUUUGUCAUGGGAUUUAAAGAUCUCUUGUGCUUAGUUUUGGAUCUGUAAACAUAAAUCCCAACCUGGAUUCUUCCCUGGGCUGACGGAGUUCAGGGAGAAAGGUAGCAGUAGAUAAGUCAUAUGCUGGAAAAGCUUGGACUCUACCCUGUCAUGAAAACUUUCAGGAACAUUUCUUAUUUCUUUUUAGAGACAAGGUCUCACUAUGUUGCCCAGGCUGGCCUCGAACUCCCGGGCUUCAGCAGUCCUCCCGCCUCACCCUCCGAUGUAGCUAGGACUACAGGACCGCGACCCGGCGCUGCCUAAGAACUGUUUUUAAACGUGAAAGCCACGGCUAUCAUUUGCUUUUUGCUCUGCUCUUCAUCUUCUGGAUAAACCUCGUAACACACUGCUUGUUUUGGGUGGUAGUCUGCUGCCUACGCCCCGUCAGACAAGUGGCCUGAGUCCCCCGCAACCCCUGCAGGUCCGGCCGCCGGCGCCAAGCCUCAAGGCAUCCAAGCCAGGAACGAUCGCGGUCAGCUCUGCCACGGAACAUGUGCAAGACCCGGCAGCAGGUUCCGGGGGAGGCGAAUUGAUUUCACAACGGUCGAGAAGGAGGACCCCGCCCACUUCGUCAUUUCUCGGAAGCCCAGGGACUCGCCGGAAGAGCGGCUCAAAAGCCGGAAAACUGGCAAAUCCGAGUCUCCCGGCGCAUGCGCGGCGCAAUCGGCUUCGCGUGGUUGCAGUAGAGAGGAUCCCUCCGCCAGCCACUGCAUCCGGCGGCCGGAUCUAACUUACCCGCUAGCGUUUUACCCUUGCGCGGCCGUGGCGUAGGGCGGUCUUUUCCCUUGGUCCUCCGCGGCGCCGCCUCUUGUGACGUAAGCCGCAGAAUCCUCUGUCUUAGUUCGGCUCUAUUGCCGCGAGCUUGACUCUUCCUGGGUCUGAGGAAAAGUAAAAGUAAUUUUGUCAUUUCCUGAAACUUCAAGUUAAACCUUUAAGCUGUUCAUUUCCUAAAAGGGUGAAAACGCGGGCACCCCUCGAGCUAGUUCAUCGCCUUUUAACCUGUUGUUGGAUCUUUCCAGAUCACCACACCACAUCACCCAGCCACUCUGCCCAAUGGGAGGGCAGACAGUGUUCCAGUGUAGGAGGAAGGGGUGUAAGGUGCGGGCAGUUUGUGAGGAGGGCACCAACGAGAGCUACUGUGAGAAAGUCUGCAUGGUCAAAAAGUGGAUUACCAAGAACAAAGCAUCAUAAUGUUGUCCAGUGGACCCCAGGUUGAAAAGUCAGGUUCUGGAAUUGGCUGUCUGGAUUAAAAUACUGGUUCCAUCACUGAGAAGCUGUGUGACCUUGCGAAAAUUACUUAAUCUCUUUGUGUUUCAGUUUUCUGAUCUGUAAAAUGAAGUCAAUAAUGCCCCUUUUCUGAGGCCUCCCUUGGCCAGAUAUGAUUAAAUAUUUAUCAAACUAAGGACUCAGCUUACUUGGAGUGAAAACUCUUCAGGGCCUCUCAGAGAUACCUAAGAUAAGUACCUUAUUUUAGUAGCUCUCAAAUAAAGCUUCUUUUAUGCUCUGUCUUUUUCAUAUAUAAAAUAAGGUCUAAUUAGAAAGUUUUAUAAUGGAGGCAGUCAAUUCCCCAAUUCCUUAUUUGUUUGAAUUAACUUUUAAAAAAUUGGGGUGUUCACUCUGGCGUUGGCUCAAUCCAGACUCUGUAAUCAGCCAACAAUCUGUGCUUCACAAAGGCUGGCGUCCUAACUGCCAGCUUCUGCCAUCCGCACCUUUUCCGUGGGGUAAUACAUUUUAAUUGGUACUUCUCUGAGAGCCCUACACAUCUCCAUCUGGCCAAAUAAACAUACUUUUACUAUUCAGCCUCAACAUCUUGGCAGUUAACAAGAGGACAGACUUGCCACAAUGGGUAAUCUUUAAGAUGCAUAAAAUCCUAAAAUUAAAGGACCAGGUACAGGUGGUAUAAUCAAUGGCUGCCUAGAAGAUGGCUCAUCUACAAAGUGGCUUUGUGUUCCACAGUCUUUUUAACACUGCUCUUGUGAUCCUAAAUGCAGUUCCUGAGCCGAGUCAGCAUUGAGAGCUCUCUCCUCUCAAAGGGCACAUUAGUGAUGAAAUAUUUCACUUCCAAUGACAGCAUAACUUUUUGGAUAUAGGCUUAUUAGCAACGUGUUUCCACUGGUUGGAUUGAGCAAGUGUAACCAGAAGGCAGAAUGGUGAAAUGGUUAAGAGCAUGGGUUCUAGAGUCAGGCUGCGUUCAAAUUCUGCUGCUGUUAAUUUAUCUUUGUGACCUUGGGCAGUUACCAUACCUCUCUGUGCCUCAGUUUCCUCAUCAGUAAAGCAGAGAUAAUGUCAGUAUUUUCCUCAUAAGAGUAUUGCAAGGACUGAUUAAAUGAGAUAAGGUGUCUGAUAUGUUUAGCACAGGGCAUGACUUGUAUUUGCUAACAAUUAUUUUUAGGCAAGGUCAGUAGACCAAAUAACUUGAGCAGCAGAAAGGAAGUGGAAGGCGAAUAACCAGCUAUGAGGUUAUUUCUCAGAUAAUUUCUUCCUAUUUCAAUGCUUCACUUUUUACAGUUUAAUCAUCAAGCAACAGUGUUAGGGAUUACGUGAGAUAAUAUGGUCUGUGUGCUGAUUCACUCAUUUAGUGUGGUCUCAUUUCCUUAAAGAACACAUCUUGAGAGAACACUUUUUUUCUCUCUAACCCUCAGGGUCAUCUGGAUGAAAUGAAUACUUUUAGGGCAAAAUGGCUGAUACUGCUUCCUUGAUAACCACAUAUAGAAAACUGACAACUGUUUAGAACAAAGCCAAAGAUGAAACCAAAUAUAAAACCACUGAUGAAAACUAAGUGAAAAAUAUAAGCAAAAUAGAAGAAAAAUAAGGUCGUUAUUUCAAGAAAACGAAAGACAGUCAAUGCUGUUCUUUGUAUUCACAUACAAUUUGGUUCACACCAAAAUUUUUUAUCUUUAUCGUAUAACUGAAUGAGUUAUGUGGCACAUUCCCAUCCAUGCCCAAACCUCUCUUGAGAGAAGCCCAAGUGAUUGACCCAUCAAAUCCCAGCUCAAGAUAUUACUGUUUUCCAGUGGGAACCACCUGAACUGAAGGCAACAGGAAUCGAAGAACAACUCAAGGAAAUAAAUUGCCUCUGUCAGGUUAGCCAUGGAAACCAGAACAUCUACAGUAAAAGCAAAUGUCAUAAUCAUAAAAUUAUUUUUCUAUAAAUUCAUGCUUUACAUGAUAGAGGUCAAUAUAUCUUUGAAAUCUUAGUUUCAUUUAUUGCUUCUUUCAAGUUGUCUUCAUGUAUAACUUAUUUCAUUUUUAUGUGACCUAAAAUCCAAUGAUGAUGACAUCAAUCAUCAUAAUUAAUAUUAAACAGAGUUGCCUUUUUUUUUUUACUAUUUCUGAUUAAUUAGUUUUACUUUCACUUUCUUACUGCUGCUCAGAUGAAAAGUCAUAAAAUAAUGACUAGUAAUGUUAUUCAGCUUCCAGAAACUCAACCUUCUAGCAGUAAAUUGGAAACAGCUGGUUAUAUAUUUUGUCCUAUUGAAGGAAACAGAAAGAUCCAUCGAAAAACUAAAGUAAAAAUUUAAUAGAGUUGAAUUACCUCUGCCUCAACUGACUAUUUCCCAGUGGUCCACAGGGUAGCAUGAACUUCGGGAUGAGAAGGCAACAUUAAUUCAACAGAGGCUGUAGGAGUGUCUUAUUGUCCCCAGAACCUCUAGAAGCUCAGAAAUUUGCCUUGUGGAGGAAUUCUGAUGUUAGGUGUCAGUUCAAAAUCUUAUGUCCCAGAGCUGGAAUGGACUUUGAGUGGUGGUCUCUCUUUUAAUAGACAGGAUUGCAAUGGAAUCAACUCAGAAAGCUCUUCUUUUCUUUCAAGUCUUUAGAUCCCAAACUCUUAAAAGCAUGAAGAAGCUCACAGUUCAAUUUUCCCUAUUCUUUACAUCAUAACAACUUCACUUUGAAAUUAAAUAAAGUGUUUUGAGAUUAGCAAGACCUCUAUAGUCAAUUUUUCUGCUUCACUGAGAACCCUCUCUUGUGAAAGGGAAUCUGGAAAUUAGAAAGUCAAGAUGAAGGCAUUUAUGACCCAGGGCCUGCUUGAAAAUAGUUGAAAUACUUAAAACCCAUCUGCACUGUAUGAUAGCUUAUUGCUCAAAGGAAAUCUCUUAGCAGAAAGCUGUUGAGCUGUUGCCCCCAGGAGAGGGCCUUCCACAUUCAUGAACACGCAACCAUCUGAGCAGCCACAUAGUAACUGGGAUUGUUCUGUAUGAAAAAACUGUAUCAUAAAACACUUCAUUAUUAUUGAGUCCUGGACUGGACUUCUGGGUUGAUAGAAGUAGCAGCAAAUGGGAUAAACAAUGAAGGGUCUUUCUCAGGAUUUCGAUGGCAAAAAGGCAAGGGGUAGCUCAAGCACUAAGUUUCAGUAAGGAGCCUAAAAAGACCACGUGCUCCAGCUGUAGGGAUCAUGGAGCCUUGUCUUGCUUAUGCCAGCCCUCGCCACCUAUCAAGAGCAGCAAUCUCCUUCCCAUGGCAGGUUUUGCCCCAGCCACAUCCAGAACCAAGGGAGGCAGGCCUGGUGGUUAACUGAGGUUCCGAGGCCACUAUGUUAACAGGCUGGAAAUAGUCUGGGUUGGGAAUAAACAAAGAUGGAGAUACAUAAACAGUAAGCUAUGGGUCCUCAUUCUUCUAUCCUGGUGGGACCCACCCCAUCCUUUUGUUGGAAUAGAAGCCACCUCUGAAUCCUACCUAGCUGCUGCUAGUGCUCUCCUAUCCGGAGAUUGGCCCUGUGCAUGGAUAUCCUGUGUUCACCUGAAUGGAUCUUGCUGGAUGGAUGAAACAUGACUUGCAGCCAAGAACUGCAUCUGUCCUGGAGCUCUUGCUGCCCUGAAAAUUUCAUCCCUUCAGAUAGGAUGCUGGGGCUCAUCUGCAGGGCCAUUGCUAACAGCCACACAGGCUUUCCACCACAUGAGUCCAGGAGGGACAUUAUUCCCACAGGCCACAGUGUAAGUGAUACCGUCUGGAGUUCGGCAAUACAGAAGCUCUGUUUAUCCAAUGCAAGUGAGCCACACUCCUAGGACAGUGUGAUUUGAGGUGGUAUGGUGAUCCUUGGGGGAGACUGACAUUCUAUUCUAGUUAGUCUCUUCUCAUACAACACUUCUUACCCCCAUUGCGUAUGCCUAUGAUAUUCUUUACUUCUUUCAGCCCCAUGCAUGCCUUGUGGCCAAGACUCUGCUUUACGAUUCAACCAAACCUCACUUCACUUACUAAAUCUAGCACCAGGAAUGAAAGACAGGGAGAGCGGGAUAUAUUUGAGAAAUUGGAUUUAACUCUUCUUCCAACAGAAGAUGACUGCAGAGGACCGCAGGACACCUCUGGCCAGGGCAAUAGCCUAGCAUAGCACAGUAAAUUUGCACUGAGAGAGAAUUACACUUCUUGCAGCUCUUUCAUGGUUUGUGUAUGUUCAAUGAUAAUCAGGCAAAUAAAUAAUAAGAUAAAUAGAAAUAUGGUUGUACUUGCAGAUUUGAAUAACAAUGGUCUGUUCUUUAAGGUCUGAAACUUUAUCAACAUUGUUCUGAGAGCUGAGAGCACACUUCCAUUGUACAUAAGCUUUAUUAUCACAGGACAAGGUCAGCUCAGCCCACAGUACAGGGGCUAAUAGGAAACACCAUGCUGCUACACAACCUGGGCUCAAAUUUCAGGUCUAUCUCAGGUCUGCCAGUUAUGUGAUCUUAAGCAAAUUUUGUUUUCUAUAUUUCAGUUUCCACUUUCACAAUUUGGGAAUAGUAAUAUGUACCUUACAGGGUCAAAUAAAACAUUUAAAAUACUGCCCAGUACAUGGUGCUUGCGGCUACUGCUGGCAUAGAAGGGUUAACCCAGACCAUUCCAUAAUUACACUAAUUGUAUGUGUUUAUUUGUGGAGGAUAUGCUGCAUAUUAAGUAUGGAGUUUAUCACAGAAUAUGUAGUCAUAUAUUUAAAACAAAUUCUUAUUGCAGUAAAAUACAUGUAACAUAAAAUUUACCAUUUUGACCAUUUUAAAGUGUACAGUUCAGUGGCAGUAAGUACAUUUAUGAUGUUGUACACCUAUCACCACUAUCUAGUUCUAGAACUUUUCCAUCACCCUAAAUGGAACCCCCACAUCUGUUAAGCAAUUAUUCUUCAUUUCCCCUCCUCCUAGCUCUUGGCAACCAAAAAUCUGCAUUUUGUCUCUAUAGAUUUGCCUAUUCUGGAUAUUUUAUAUAAAUGGAAUCAUAUAAUGAGUGGCCUUCUGUGUCUGGCUUCUUUCACUUAUUAUGAUGUUUUCAAGGUUCAUCCAUGUUGUAGCAUGCAUCAGUAUUUCAUUUUUUUUGCAUGGCUAAAUAACAUUCCAUCAUAUGAAUAUACUACAUUUCAUUUGCCUCCUCAUUCAUUCAUGGACAAUUGAGUUGUUUCUACCUUUUGGUCAUUGUGAAUAGUGCAGCUAUGAACAUUCAAGUACAUGUUUUGGUUUGAACACUUGUUUUCAAUUCUUUGGAGUAUAUUCCUAAGAGUGGAAUUGUUGGGUGGCAUGGCAAUUCUGUGUUCAACUUGUAAGGAAUGGUCAUAUAUUUUAAAAUAAUUAUUUCCUUAUUCUUACAAUGUCCAAACUUAAAAAUAAAACUGUCAUAUUAAUUAUGAAGGAGGUGAAUCUGAAGAGUGACAUUUGCCAUCACUUUUCCAGUCACCUGAUUGUACACACAGAUGAGGAGCAGUGCUUACAAACAAUACUCAAAUCAGGAUCAUUUCUGAUUGGGUGGCUGACUGCUUACAAUUACAGAAAAGUGUUAUUGUGGCAAUGCUGUUCAUAUUUUUGGAUUGAUUUCAAUGUUGUUUCUGAUAUUUCCAGGAAUUUGGCCAGUAAUACUUCCCAAAGUAGGAAUAAUGAAAAAUAUAAAUUAUGAAACUAACUGAAAAUUGAACUUAUCUUUAAAUGACUAUAUUGAUACUUUUAGUUCUCCAGUGAAUUUUUGGUAUUCCCUAGGAAGAAUGCACCUUCCAAUAAGUGAUGAGUGUCACUCAGUUCUGGGAUGAGGAAUGUUUUGCAGUGCUUAUCCGAUCACAAAAUCCGCCAGGGGAAGUUCACUCGGAAGACCUCAACUUUUUCCUACCAGUUAUUUAACCAACAUGGGAGAGAAUAAGACACGGAAAAGGGAUCAGCAAAAAGUGCAAAGCCCCUGCUUUUCCUACUCAAAGUGAGAUCCCUGGACCAGCGGCAUCAGCAUCACCUUGGAGCUUGUCAGAAGUGCAGAAUCUCAGGUUCUGAUCCCAGAUCUACUGAAUCAGAAUGUGCACUUUAAUACGGUCCCCAGGUGUCCAGUGACACGUUCAAAUUUUGAGAAGCGAUGGCCCAGACAAUGAAAUAAGAGAAUCUGAAGUGGACCAGGGCAGAGGCCUUUUUCCUCAAGCAAGGCUGCUGAGGGUUUCACUAAUUCUGUAGUAAGGUGCACAGCAGCUCCCUGAGGUACACAGAAGCUCUUGCUCACCUGCCACUUCCAGCCUUGGUAUUUUCCAGUUGUCGGGUAAGGAGUUUAGCAAUGGCGGUGAAGCUGUUGCUCAUGCGGAAGAUGUCUCUGCUCUGAGGGCCCAAGAUUGAGGAGAAGGUGUCGGUGAUGCUUUUAAUCUCCAGCAGGAGAAUAUGGUGAAACGAAUGCUCCAUGUUGGCCAGUUGGCUCACCAGAUGGCAGAUUAGAGGAUUUUCAGAGUGCCUCAGCCAUUUGGAAAUAGCAAGAUAGUACAUAAAGAUCAGCUCUGUGAGCUUUAAUUCAAGAAGGAGAAUGGGACUCCACCAGAAUCAUGAAGGAUACCCCAGAUCCUGGAGAGGAAAAUGCUGGAAUAAAGCCCCCAUGACAGCAUCUGGCUGAUAAAAGCUGAAACAUGUUUCUGGCCAGCCCACCAAGCUGUGGGUGGUGACCUGUUCCCAUUUGCCAGACUAGGGGAAAAGAGCUGCGACCCUUCUGGAGGCCCAGACCUCAGGACUCCCUGAGCCAGAGCUGUGACACGCUGUAACAUCCCCUCGGGGCUCCAUGGUUGCUGGCAUCUCCAAGUUUUUGGGCACCACCACAUUCCUCUUGUCCAGAUGCCAGCGCCCAAAGCGGAAGCUGCUUGAGGCAUGCCUGGUCCAGCCACAGCCUUGCAUGGAGCUUGCAACUCUGCUGAUGCCUGGAGCUGCCUGCCACAGCAGCUGGUGCACCUGGCUUGCUGCGGCCAGAUCUUGUACUUUGUCACUCACACACCCCUUGCCGUUCCACGCCUGUCUCACCUGUGGUGGGCAUGGGGUCUGGGCCAGUAGUGUGAGUCAAGCACAGCCUGCCAGGCUGAGUGGGCAGAGCCAGCCCAAUGGUCACAAGGAAAACUUGGGCAGAGGUGCCACUGGCCAUAGAGGUUUCCAGCUGCCAAAGCAGCACCAAAAGAAUCCUGUGUCAUCAGUACAUGAGAGGCAGAGAGCCUCCUUUGUGACUCAUUUUUCCACUGGGGAUCCAAGCCACCCAAGCUGAGGGAGAGCAGUUUGUUUCUUUCAAGCCCUAGAGCUAACUUGGGGAGAGGCUCUUGGAGAUAUUCUGAGGGAAAGACAAUGGGAAAAACUGCACUUUCCCAGACCUGGGACUGAUGGCGGGAUGCCAUUUUUAAUCCAGGUACAUAUAAAGUCAGCCAUUACCAGCGGCAUGGCUGCACAGACACUGUGCAGUCCAAAGACUCAGGUCAGAGUCUUUGGGAAAUAUGGGAUUAUGUAAAGUGACAUACCAAUCAGACAUUCCUGAUAAAGAAGGAGAAAAAGUAAAACACCUGGAAAAUAUAUUUGAGGGAAUAAUUCACAAAAACUUUCCUAAUCUUGCUAGAGAGGUAGGCAUCUACACAUAAGAAAUCCAGAGAAUGCCUGUGAGAUACCAUACAAAAUGAACAUCACCAAGGAAUGUAACUACCAGAUUGUCCAAAGUCAAUGCUAAAGAGAAAAAUCUUAAAGGCAGCUAGAGAAAAAGGGCAGGUCACAUACAAAGGCAAUCCCAUCACGCUAACAGACUUCUUAACAGAAACAAGCAAGGAGAGAUUGGGGGCCUAUUUUAGCACUCUUAAAGAAAAGAAAUUUCAACCAAGAAUUUCAUACCCCGCCAUACUAAAGCUUCAUAAAUGAAGGAGAAAUAAAAUAUUGUCCAGACAAGGAAGCUGUAAGAGAAUUUGUUAACACUAGAUCAGCCUUAGAAGAGAUCCUUAAGGGAGUUCUAAACAUGAAAUGAAAGAAUGAUACCUGCUAAAUAAUAAAACAAAAACACACUUAAGUACAUAGCCUGCAACCACACAAUAGAAACAACAAAGCAACCAGCUAACAACUUCAUGAUAGUAUCAAAACCUCAUAUAUCAAUAUCAACCUUGAAUGUAAAUGGUUGUAUUAGUCCAUUUUCACAAUCAUGGCAGAAGGAGCAAGUCAUGUCUUACAUGGAUGGCAGCAGGCAAAGAGAGAGCACGUAUGUAGGGGAAUUCCUCUUUUUAAAACCAUCAGAUCUCAUAAGACUUAUUCACUAUCACGAGAACAGCAUGGGAAAGAUAUGCCCCCAUGAUUCAAUUACCUCCCACCGGGUCCCUCCCACCACAUGUGGGAAUUCAAUAUAAGAUUUCAGCGGUGACAUAGCCAAACUAUAUCAAUGGUCUACAUCAGGGGUGUACAAUCAUUUGGCUUCCCUGGGCCACAUCGGAAGAAGAAGAAUUGUCUUGGGCCACACACAAACUAUGCUAACACUAAUAAUAGCUGAUGAUCUAAAAAAAAAAUCACAAAAUAUCUCAUAAUGUUUUAAGAAAGUUUAUGAAUUUGUGUUGGGCUGCAUUCAAAGCUGUCCUGGGCCUCAUGUGGCCUACAGGUUGUGGAUUGGACAAGCUUGGUCUAAAUGGUGCAUUUAAAAGGCACAGCAUCUUAUUUAACCACUUUGAGCCUAAGCUUCAUCUGUAGAUUGGAGCUAACAGUUCGGCGGCAGAUACUUUUGAUUGCCUAUCACUAAUUGUAUCUCACCCUAUCCCCUUCUUUCUUAUUGGUAUAACCCCCAGCCUGCUAUAAAGUGAAAAUAGCUAUUCUAUUUCUCAGGCUCCUUUUAAACUAGGGCAUGGGUAUGUGAUUUAAUCCUGGGCAACUGGACCUGAUGUGAAGUUUUCUGGGGUAGAAGACUACUGAAAAAUGUUUUCCUCCCAGAUAAAAAGAGAUGGAAGAACACAUUCCUGUUCCUUAACCAGACAUUGUUGUACCUAUAUGCACUACCUGGAUCUGGGCAGUUAUCUUUGCAAGUGUGAGGGUAUGUUUAUGGGACCAAUUCAAAUAUAAUGAUGAUGGUAGAGAGAGAAUAGAAAGAAGCUUAUCAAGAGUUCUUGAUGAUGUUGUGGAACUUCUGAACAAACCUGGGACCCACCCUGUUUUCCAGGCUUCUUGUUAUAGGAGAUAAUAAAUAUUUUUCUUCUGAAUCAGCUUUAGUUGCAAAUGCUAUUACCAAAUUCAUCUUAGCUGACACAACUUCUUCAUGAUGUUGUGAGGAACAAUGAAAAAAUAAUUGUAAAGUAUCUAGCAUAGAGUAGGUGACAAAACAAUGCUAUCAAUGAAUUGUUAUUAUUAGUAUUAUUUUUAGUAUGAUCUGAUGAUGCCAGAAAUAUCAAUGAAUUUAAAAAUAAGUUACUUAGUACAGCCUGAAUGUUUUAUUAUAAAGAUUACUGUUUUCAAUAUCAGGUAUACUAUUUGGCACAUAGCAAAUAUUCAAUGAUUGUAUUUUUCUUUGACAUUAUGGAAUAUAUGCUACAUACGAAAUAAUAUAUAUAAAUAUAUGUAAUGUAACAGGAAAUUAUCAAUAACAUUGGCAGCAUCUGUGAGCCCCUUCCUACCCCAUCUCUCUUUCUUCUUCAUACUUCCCUUGCAGAGAAACCAAUAUCAGGUUUUAAAAGCCAUUUUUAACCAGCGGUCAUCACUCUGGAGGAGGUAAAUUUCUAUAUACUGCAGGUAUAUGAUUGUUUUUCCUAUUCUAUUGGAAGACUUUUGUUACCUCCGGUUUUGUUGUUUGUUCAGAGCUUGAGAUAUUAAGCCUUAAAAUAAAAUCUCAAAUACUCUCA